AUGGAGGGUGUGGAAGAAGUGAAAGGAGACUGUGAGGACAAAGCUCUGAAUAUUCACAGACUGCCCCAGGGGAUCUUAGCAGGAGGGGGUUCCAGCUCCCCAGACCAGCUGGAGGGACCACUGUUCAUCCACCCACACCUCCCCAGCUCCCCACUCCCCUCCUCCUCCUUUACUGCCUUUUCUCUUCAGGAUCCUAAAGAUAAGCUGGAGCUGACUGAUGAUCUUAAGUGUUUCCCAAUGUGUUGGACAAAGAUGAAAUACGGUCAUGUAGAAGGAGGCGGCUGUCUUUCCGUGCCCUGCACAGCCGUGGUUCGUGGUCCCAAGAAGCAUCUGAAGUGGGUAGCAGCUCCAAAGCAUUGGAUGCUGGAUAAAUUGACCAGUGUGUUUGCUCCUCUUCCAUCCACUGGUCCCCACAAGCUGAGAGAGUGUCUCCCUCUCAUCAUUUUCCUAAGAAACAGACUUAAGUAUGCUCUGACUGGAGAUGAAGUAAAAAAGAUCCUUUUGUGGGUACAGAAGGAAUUCCUCAUCUGGUGACUCAUGAUGCUCGCACCAUCCGCUACCCUGAUCCCCUCACCAAGGUGAAUGACACCAUUCAGAUUGAUUUGGAGGCUGGCAAAAUUACUGAUUUUAUCAAGUUUGACACUGGUAACCUGUGUACGGUACUGGAGGUGCUAACCUGGGAAGAAUUGGUGUGAUCACCAACAGAGAAAGACAUCCUGGAUCUUUUGAUGUGGUUCAUGUAAAAGAUGCCAAUGGCAACAGCUUUGUCACUCGGCUCUCCAACAUUUUUGUUAUUGGCAAAGGCAACAAACUAUGGAUUUCUCUUCCCCAAGGAAAAGGUAUCCGCCUCACCAUUGCUGAAGAGAGAGACAAAAGACUGGCAGCCAAACAGAGUAGUGGGUGA